AUAUUCGCUGUUCUCCGAGCCAUAUUACCUGUAAGCAUUGGCUAUGGUGCUAUGGCCGUUAGGGUUAACCGGGAAACUGAUUAGCCUCCCUCUGGAAAGGAGAGCCUUAGCCACCUGU
rnacentral:ncRNA from 2 species